rnacentral:rRNA from 1 species
UAGGGUAUCUCCGGCAACGGGGGCAACCCUGACCGAGCAACGCCGCGUGAGUGAAGAAGGUUUUCGGAUCGUAAAGCUCUGUUGUAAGAGAAGAACGUGUGUGAGAGUGGAAAGUUCACACAGUGACGGUAACUUACCAGAAAGGGACGGCUAACUACGUGCCAGCAGCCGCGGUAAUACGUAGGUCCCGAGCGUUGUCCGGAUUUAUUGGGCGUAAAGCGCGCGCAGGCGGUUUAAUAAGUCUGAAGUUAAAGGCAGUGGCUUACCCAUUGUUCGCUUUGGAAACUGUUAAACUUGAGUGCAGAAGGGGAGAGUGGAAUUCCAUGUGUAGCGGUGAAAUGCGUGGAUAUAUGGAGGAAACCAGGUGGCGAGAGCGGCGCUCUGGUCUGUGACUGACGCUGAGGCUCGAAAGCGUGGGGAGCAAACAGG